rnacentral:rRNA from 1 species
UGAUGGGUUGCUGCUGGCUCUCUAGGGAGCAUGUGCACACUUGUCAUCUUUAUAUCUCCACCUGUGCACCUUUUGUAGAUCUGGAUAUCUUUCUGAAUGCCUGGCAUUCAGGUUUGAGGAUUGACUUUUGUCUUUCCUUACAUUUCCAGGCCUAUGUUUUCUUCAUAUACACCAUUUAUGUUAUAGAAUGUAAUGAAAAGGGCCUUUGUGCCUACAAACCUUAUACAACUUUCAGCAACGGAUCUCUUGGCUCUCGCAUCGAUGAAGAACGCAGCGAAAUGCGAUAAGUAAUGUGAAUUGCAGAAUUCAGUGAAUCAUCGAAUCUUUGAACGCACCUUGCGCUCCUUGGUAUUCCGAGGAGCAUGCCUGUUUGAGUGUCAUUAAUAUAUCAACCUCCUCAGGUUUUGACUUGUCGAGUGUUUGGAUGUGGGGGUCUUUUGCUGGUCUCUUUUGAGGUCGGCUCCCCUAAAAUGCAUUAGCGGAACAAUUUGUUGACCCGUUCAUUGGUGUGAUAACUAUCUACGCUUUUGACGUGAAACAGGUUCAGCUUCUAACAGUCCAUUGACUUGGACAAAUUUUCAUUAAUGUGACCUCAAAUCAGGUAGGACUACCCGCUGAACUUAAGCAUAUCAA